rnacentral:lncRNA from 1 species
GUCAUGAGUAACUCACUAGUGUUGAGAUCGAAGAGAGAGCCGCAUGUCGCCAUGUGCCAUUUAGUUCAUAUCCUUUACUAGUUACUGAUUAUUAUUAUUAUUGGAUCAUUUGUAGUCAACAAUGGGCCAGUGGUUGCUUCCUACGAGAGCACAAAUCAUGUACUUUUCUAGACAUCUUUGAAAAGCCAGUCAGUGGUUUCUAGCAUCAAACAACACAUGGAAUCCUGACCUGUUCAUCGGACGUGCUACCUGUCCCAGACCUGCUGAAACCCUGACCUGUUCACCGGACGUGCUACCUGUCCCAGACCUGCUGGAACCCUGACCUAUUCACCGGACGUGCUACCUGUCCCAGACCUGCUGUUUUCAACUCUCUAGAGACAGCAGGAGCGGUAGAGAUGCUCUCAAUGAUCGGCUAUGAAAAGCCAACUGACAUUUACUCCUGAGUUAAAUAUCAUUGAGCUGCGUGCACCACAAGCUGUUUACAGGCAUUGAACACCAUUCGGCAUUUUGCCGUCUAUUUUCCAACUUCAAAUCGGUUAAAUCACAUUGUUAAAAUGUUUUCAUUCAGUUACAAAAGUAACAGUCCUGGCCCAUAUGAUAGUGUGCGGUGGCCACAUCAAGGUUACAAUGUAGCCAAGCUGUGUCUGUAUGCCCUAUGGUCCAAAUGAAAAAGCACAGGACGUGCGUCUGGAUAAAACAGCUCUGCCUGGCAACACGAGGGGCUAAAGGGGGAUGAUCCCUCAGCUGAAACUUGAUCCCUCUCAGCUGAAACUUGAUCCCUCUCAGCUGAAACUUGAUCCCUCUCAGCUGAAACUUGAUCCCUCUCAGCUGAAACUUGAUCCCUCUCAGCUGAAACUUGAUCCCUCUCAGUUGAUCCCCCUCAGUUUACAUUGUUUGGAAACUGAUAUGUGAUAAGUAUUAAUGCAAAAAUAACAUGCAAAACAGGCAACACAAAAUAAAAUAAUAUAAAAAAAUAAAUAAUAAUAAAAAAGAAUUUCUGGCCAGAAAUCUUUGGGUCAAAUACUUAUUUCCCUCAUUAAAAUGCAAAUCAUUUUAUAACAUGCGUUUUUCUGGAUAUUUUCAUUGUUAUUCUGUCUCUCACUGUUCAAAUAAACCUACCAUUAAAAUUAUAGACUGAUCAUUUCUUUGUCAGUGGGCAAUUAUCUACAUAAUUUUUCUGCCUUUUGAUGCUAUCUAUUUUGUGAAGUGCACCAGUCCCUCCUGCAGCAAAGCACCCCCACAACAUGAUGCUGCCACCCCCGUGCUUCACGGU